UUUCCCUCAGGGUGACACGGGAAGCUCCAUUUCCCUCAGGGUGACAAGGGAAGCUCCAUGGAAGCUCCAUUUCCCUCAGGGUGACAAGGGAAGCUCCAUGGACGCUCCAUUUCCCUCAGGGUGACAAGGGAAGCUCCAUGGAAGCUCCAUUUCCCUCAGUGGAAGCCGGCGCACCAGGAGUCAGGAAGGGAGAUCGCUUCAGCACCUGCCACAUUCUCUGGCAUUCGUAAGAAGAAUCUACAUCAUGAACUGAAGACACAAUCUGGAGGAAAUGAUAGAGAUGGAGAAGGACCAGCUAUAAAUAUCAGAAGGUUCACACCAGAACAGUGAGGAAAAGGCAGAUGUGGUUGUAGAGCAUGUCCAGCAAGCUGCCUGAGAUGAAGAGCUCCUCUGAGGCUGCUCCUGAGCUGCUCCUGGGUCAGUUCACUCUGCCAGCCUCAUGUUCACUGCUGUGUGCAGAGGUUCAGGUGCUCUUUCCUCUCUGCUCCACGGAGAUCUCUUCCCAGCAGGAAGCCUGAGCAGGCCCAGGCUAUCAUCAGCUGAUUUAACACAGAUUCAGUUCAGAUCAACACUUAGCUUUCCAUUCAAUAAACACAGUCAUCCUGUGGGACUUGGCUCUUGCAGUGAAACCACAGAUCCAGAAGAGUGUGGGAGUCCAGCUCAGGGAACAGCAUCUUUUGGGACCAUUGAACAACAGGUAAGAAACAUGUCUGCUGUUCUGGAAAAUGAUUAUUG
rnacentral:lncRNA from 1 species